rnacentral:rRNA from 1 species
GCCCCGGUAAACGGCGGCCGUAACUAUAACGGUCCUAAGGUAGCGAAAUUCCUUGUCGGGUAAGUUCCGACCUGCACGAAUGGCGUAAUGAUGGCCAGGCUGUCUCCACCCGAGACUCAGUGAAAUUGAACUCGCUGUGAAGAUGCAGUGUACCCGCGGCAAGACGGAAAGACCCCGUGAACCUUUACUAUAGCUUGACACUGAACAUUGAGCCUUGAUGUGUAGGAUAGGUGGGAGGCUUUGAAGUGUGGACGCCAGUCUGCAUGGAGCCGACCUUGAAAUACCACCCUUUAAUGUUUGAUGUUCUAACGUUGGCCCGUAAUCCGGGUUGCGGACAGUGUCUGGUGGGUAGUUUGACUGGGGCGGUCUCCUCCUAAAGAGUAACGGAGGAGCACGAAGGUUGGCUAAUCCUGGUCGGACAUCAGGAGGUUAGUGCAAUGGCAUAAGCCAGCUUGACUGCGAGCGUGACGGCGCGAGCAGGUGCGAAAGCAGGUCAUAGUGAUCCGGUGGUUCUGAAUGGAAGGGCCAUCGCUCAACGGAUAAAAGGUACUCCGGGGAUAACAGGCUGAUACCGCCCAAGAGUUCAUAUCGACGGCGGUGUUUGGCACCUCGAUGUCGGCUCAUCACAUCCUGGGGCUGAAGUAGGUCCCAAGGGUAUGGCUGUUCGCCAUUUAAAGUGGUACGCGAGCUGGGUUUAGAACGUCGUGAGACAGUUCGGUCCCUAUCUGCCGUGGGCGCUGGAGAACUGAGGGGGGCUGCUCCUAGUACGAGAGGAC